rnacentral:lncRNA from 1 species
GGGUUAUUUAAUAGUUAUUACAUCUCUCAUGGUACUGUCUCCUAGCAACCAGCUAUAUUGUGCUGCUACUUAGUUCUGCUUAUUAUGGCUUGAUUCUGGUACUCCACUACUGUCAACAUUCCUCUUGGCUUCUGCUGCUGCUGCCAUCUGCUGGACAUGACUUUUAUUGCUCCUCACCCUCAAGUGUUACCUACUUUUUUGUGAAACUGUCAGCAUGGUGACCAAGCAUUUUCAGCUCUUUUGUCUUCAGAGGACAGCUAGUCUAAGCUAAUCUAUGCCUGCACAACAGUCAAGCAACCUACCCCCUCUGUUGGUCUCUUCAGGGACUGUACAGUCCUUAUGACAUGCAGUAGCACCUUAGGGGCUGCUACUAAGGAGAAAGAACUCAGAAAGUCAAACAACCUUCCCUUCUGGUUGGUUCCUCUUUAUCUCGAGAGUUCCAGAAUCAGGAAGACCUGAGUUCAAAUCACAUCUCAAUUAUUCAUUACCUGUGUGAUCCUGGC